rnacentral:misc_RNA from 1 species
AAGUCGUAAAAAGGUUUCCGUAGGUGAACCUGCGGAAGGAUCAUUCUUGUAUGAUAACCAUUGUGAAGUUUCAUCUUCUCAAUAUCUAACUUUGUGAACUGUCUCUGGUGUUCUUUGUUGCCAGUUGUGGCCUGGUGUGGGGGCUCAUCGGGGCCGUCCGCUUGGUUCGCUGGCAACAGAGUCGCCCAUGUUUUAUUCACCUUCAUUAAUUAAUAAUCGUAGAACAAAACAAAAUUAAAUACAACUUUUAGCAACGGAUCUCUAGGCUCUC